CCGCGGUAAUACGUAGGGUGCAGGCGUUAAUCGGAAUUACUGGGCGUAAAGCGUGCGCAGGCGGUUUGCUAAGACAGGUGUGAAAUCCCCGGGCUCAACCUGGGAAUGGCAAUGGAUACUGGCUAGCUAGAGUGUGUCAGAGGAUGGUGGAAUUCCCGGUGUAGCGGUGAAAUGCGUAGAGAUCGGGAGGAACAUCAGUGGCGAAGGCGGCCAUCUGGGACAACACUGACGCUGAAGCACGAAAGCGUGGGGAGCAAACAGG
rnacentral:rRNA from 1 species